rnacentral:rRNA from 1 species
AUAACGGUCCUAAGGUAGCGAAAUUCCUUGUCGGGCAAGUUCCGACCUGCACGAAUGGCAUAACGAUGGCCACACUGUCUCCUCCUGAGACUCAGUGAAGUUGAAGUGUUUGUGAUGAUGCAAUCUCCCCGCGGCUAGACGGAAAGACCCCAUGAACCUUUACUGUAGCUUUGCAUUGGACUUUGAACCGAUCUGUGUAGGAUAGGCGGGAGCCUGUGAAACCACAACGCCAGUUGUGGCGGAGGCGUCCUUGAAAUACCGCCCUGAUUUGUUUGAGGUUCUAACCUGGGACAGUCAUCCUGUCCGGGGACCGUGCAUGGUAGGCAGUUUGACUGGGGCGGUCUCCUCCUAAAGGGUAACGGAGGAGUGCGAAGGUACGCUAGGUACGGUCGGAAAUCGUGCUGAUAGUGCAAUGGCAAAAGCGUGCUUGACUGCGAGACCCACAAGUCGAGCAGAUACGAAAGUAGGUCAUAGUGAUCCGGUGGCUCUGUAUGGAAGGGCCAUCGCUCAACGGAUAAAAGGUACUCUGGGGAUAACAGGCUGAUACCGCCCAAGAGUUCAUAUCGACGGCGGUGUUUGGCACCUCGAUGUCGGCUCAUCUCAUCCUGGGGCUGUAGCCGGUCCCAAGGGUAUGGCUGUUCGCCAUUUAAAGAGGUACGUGAGCUGGGUUUAAAACGUCGUGAGACAGUUUUGUCCCUAUCUGCCGUGGGCGCUGGAAGAUUGACGGGGGCUGCUCCUAGUACGAGAGGACCGGAGUGGACUCACCUCUGGUGUACCGGUUGUCACGCCAGUGGCAUCGCCGGGUAGCUAUGUGGGGAAGAGAUAACCGCUGAAAGCAUCUAAGCGGGAAACUUGCCUGAAGAUAAGUCUUCCUGGAGGCUAGACCUCCCUAAAGAGUCGUUCGAGACCAGGACGUUGAUAGGAUGGGUGUGUAAGUGCUGUGAGGCACUCAGCUAACCAUUACUAAUUGCUCGUGAAGCUUGAUCCU